rnacentral:rRNA from 1 species
UACGUAGGGUGCGAGCGUUAAUCGGAAUUACUGGGCGUAAAGCGUGCGCAGGCGGUUCGUUGUGUCGGUGGUGAAAUCCCCGGGCUUAACCUGGGAGUGGCCAUGGAAACUGGCGAACUGGAGUGCGGCAGAGGGGGGUGGAAUUCCGCGUGUAGCAGUGAAAUGCGUAGAGAUGCGGAGGAACACCGAUGGCGAAGGCAGCCCCCUGGGCUAGCACUGACGCUCAGGCACGAAAGCGUGGGGAGCAAACAGG